AGGCAACACUCUGUGGUAGAUACCUAGUUAUCUACUUCAAUUUAAGCUUGCUACAGUAACAUAGUCUCACUUAUUCCAGUGGUCUCUAAGGUGAGGUCAGCUGUUAUAUAGACUCUAACAUC